GUUUGANCAUGGCUCAGGACGAACGCUGGCGGCGUGCUUAACACAUGCAAGUCGAACGAUGAACCCCUUCGGUGGGGAUUAGUGGCGAACGGGUGAGUAACACGUGGGCAAUCUGCCCUGCACUCUGGGACAAGCCCUGGAAACGGGGUCUAAUACCGGAUACUGAUCGCCUUGGGCAUCCUUGGUGAUCGAAAGCUCCGGCGGUGCAGGAUGAGCCCGCGGCCUAUCAGCUUGUUGGUGAGGUAAUGGCUCACCAAGGCGACGACGGGUAGCCGGCCUGAGAGGGCGACCGGCCACACUGGGACUGAGACACGGCCCAGACUCCUACGGGAGGCAGCAGUGGGGAAUAUUGCACAAUGGGCGAAAGCCUGAUGCAGCGACGCCGCGUGAGGGAUGACGGCCUUCGGGUUGUAAACCUCUUUCAGCAG
rnacentral:rRNA from 1 species